AGUCGAGCGGGCGUAGCAAUACGUCAGCGGCAGACGGGUGAGUAACGCGUGGGAACGUACCUUUUGGUUCGGAACAACACAGGGAAACUUGUGCUAAUACCGGAUAAGCCCUUACGGGGAAAGAUUUAUCGCCGAAAGAUCGGCCCGCGUCUGAUUAGCUAGUUGGUGAGGUAAUGGCUCACCAAGGCGACGAUCAGUAGCUGGUCUGAGAGGAUGAUCAGCCACAUUGGGACUGAGACACGGCCCAAACUCCUACGGGAGGCAGCAGUGGGGAAUAUUGGACAAUGGGGGCAACCCUGAUCCAGCCAUGCCGCGUGAGUGAUGAAGGCCCUAGGGUUGUAAAGCUCUUUUGUGCGGGAAGAUAAUGACGGUACCGCAAGAAUAAGCCCCGGCUAACUUCGUGCCAGCAGCCGCGGUAAUACGAAGGGGGCUAGCGUUGCUCGGAAUCACUGGGCGUAAAGGGUGCGUAGGCGGGUUUUUAAGUCAGGGGUGAAAUCCUGGAGCUCAACUCCAGAACUGCCUUUGAUACUGAAGAUCUUGAGUCCGGGAGAGGUGAGUGGAACUGCGAGUGUAGAGGUGAAAUUCGUAGAUAUUCGCAAGAACACCAGUGGCGAAGGCGGCUCACUGGCCCGGUACUGACGCUGAGGCACGAAAGCGUGGGGAGCAAACAGGAUUAGAUACCCUGGUAGUCCACGCCGUA
rnacentral:rRNA from 1 species